ensembl:lncRNA
GAGAGGGAGGAGAAGGCGGUAGCGGAGCUGAGGCGACUGAAGCGGAAGGAAGUGGCGUGGGAGUCGGCGGGGAAGGAGAGCAGGAGGACGAGGAGCAGGAAGGAAUGGUAGAGGACGUGAGCGCAGCGGAAGAGACAACGGAGACGGGAGGAGAGAUGGAAAGGGAGAACGGCUGCAGCGCGGACAGUGCGGUGAGGGGGACGGACGAGCGAGAGGAGCGGAGCAGUGCGGAAUAUACAGCGCGCAUUUCAAGGAGGAGGAUUACCACUCAGGGGAUGCCAAGAUGGUCUCACUUGGUUUAAAGAGUAAGAGGACGGCGAAGUUAAUUCCUACCGCCAUGCCGUCUGUGCAUGCAAACCACUCUGCCUGCCCUGUCCCGAGGUCGAGAGACACCGUCUGCCGCAAGCGAGAGAUUGCCACGAUGUUGACAGACACCUCACAGCAGGAGACCGUGGCCAGUGUAGACACUGUGGAGAGUGUCGAUACUGGGGAUCAGCCCUUGCCCUCCUCCACUUCUGACGCUGGGACACAAUGUUUUUUGAAGCCCCCCCCGAUGGUCUCACGCUGUGCAGGUUAACCUGAAGCCCAAGAUGGUUAGCGUGGGCACACAGACUUCAAUCAGCCCACAAACCUCCACUCCCCUCGCUAGUCCUGACCAGACAGUUGACGACGACGAUGAUGAUAAUGCCACUGUCAUCAGUGACUUGUCGUGGGUGCCCGAAGAGCCGAUGGAUGAGGAGGAAUUGUUUGAUGAGGAGCCACCUUACACGUGUGACCCCCACCACAAACCUUCCACGGAGGCGAAGCUCCGGACGAACCAUCAGCGCUGAUUAGGGACUUAGACAUAUUCGAUUUCUCACGCUUAUGACUCUGUAUAACCGUUGCCACUUUACUUAAUAAAUCCAAGGUCCUCGUGCCGACAGACUUUAUUACCUCUCCG